rnacentral:rRNA from 1 species
GACGAACGCUGGCGGCGUGCUUAACACAUGCAAGUCGAACGGAAAGGCCCUGCUUUUGUGGGGUGCUCGAGUGGCGAACGGGUGAGUAACACGUGUGUAACCUGCCCUUGACUUUGGGAUAACUUCAGGAAACUGGGGCUAAUACCGGAUAGGAGCUCCUGCUGCAUGGUGUGGGUUGGAAAGUUUCGGCGGUUGGGGAUGGACUCGCGGCUUAUCAGCUUGUUGGUGGGGUAGUGGCUUACCAAGGCUUUGACGGGUAGCCGGCCUGAGAGGGUGACCGGCCACAUUGGGACUGAGAUACGGCCCAGACUGCUACGGGAGGCAGCAGUGGGGAAUAUUGCACAAUGGGCGGAAGCCUGAUGCAGCAACGCCGCGUGCGGGAUGACGGCCUUCGGGUUGUAAACCGCUUUAGCCUGUGACGAAGCGUGAGUGACGGUAAUGGGUAAAGAAGCACCGGCUAACUACGUG